AGGUGAACAUGCGGAAGGAU
rnacentral:rRNA from 1 species